rnacentral:rRNA from 1 species
UACGUAGGGUGCGAGCGUUAAUCGGAAUUACUGGGCGUAAAGCGCACGUAGGCGGAUCGUUAAGUCGGGGGUGAAAUCCUGGAGCUCAACUCCAGAACUGCCUUCGAUACUGGCGAUCUUGAGUCCGGAAGAGGUGAGUGGAACUGCGAGUGUAGAGGUGAAAUUCGUAGAUAUUCGCAAGAACACCAGUGGCGAAGGCGGCUCACUGGCCCGGUACUGACGCUGAGGUGCGAAAGCGUGGGGAGCAAACAGG